AUUGAACGCUGGCGGCAUGCCUAACACAUGCAAGUCGAACGAGUGGCGGACGGGUGAGUCAUGUCUGGGAAACUGCCUGAUGGCUGGGGAUAACUACUGGAAACGGUAGCUAAUACCGCAUACCAUCGGAUGUGCCCAGAUGGGAUUAUCUAUUAGGUGGGGUAAAGGCUCACCUAGGCGACGAUCCCUAGCUGGUCUGAGAGGAUGACCGGCCACACUGGAACUGAGACACGGUCCAGACUCCUACGGGAGGCAGCAGUGGGGAAUAUUCCACAAUGGGCGCAAGCCUGAUGCAGCCACGCCGCGUGUAUGAUGAAGGCCUUCGGGUUGUAAAGUACUUUCAGCGGGGAGGCGGUACCUGAAGAGGAAGCACCGGCUAACUCCGUGCCAGCAGCCGCGGUAAUAC
rnacentral:rRNA from 1 species